UGUCAAAAAGCCCUUUAGAUAAGGUAUGUCAUAUCUGUGAGUCUUACCAUUUUCACAACAGAAUGUUUACAAGAAGCAAUCUCUCUACAAGAAGCAAUCCCUCUUUUUUGCAUACAUAAGUAUGUGUCCGCCAACAUUUUCUUCAUUGGUGGAAAGCAUGGGGCAAUAAGCUUAUACAUUUCCCCAUAUUUCAGUCUGUCUGGAGAUUUCUUUCAUAAUUGGAAUAAAAACUUCUAAGCUUAACUUCCACUACUAUUUGAAAAGUUAUUAGUAGUGAAGUAUAGAAGUGGAGGGGCCUAUGGCUGCCCUUGCAUAAAAUUAAAUUUAUUCUCCUUCAAGUGUUAAGUGGGCAUAACAUUGAAUGGAUCACAAGGAACAUGAUGAUAAGUUACAACCUUUACCAUGUUUCAUUGGAUUCAUGUUCCUUUACCAUGUUUCAUUGGAUUAAUGUUUAUCUAAAAGUAAGAUUCAAUUUUUUUGCUAUUGCAUUAGAACUUCUGGAUAAAUGUUGAUGCAGGAUUUUCUAGAUUUUAGGACUACCUAUUUUAGGAAGAAAUAUAAGAAGUAGUCUUUUUAUUAUUUAGUAAUUUUUUGUUGAUUUGAGAUUCCUUAUUAGCUUUGCAUUUUCUUAUUUAGGUUCCAAAUCCUAAUACUAAUAGGAUAAAUAAUUCUAAUAUUUAUACCUUAGUUCUCUAGGCAUUUUUUGUAGACUUUUCCUAUGAUCCACAAUUGAAUUGUUUUGAGUUAAUAAAAUUGAGACUUGUUUAUCUUUCCUCUUGAAAAUUUGUUUCUCUACCUUCGAGAAUUUGUUUCUCAUCCCCUUGUUCUCCUUUGUUCCCCUUUAUUCUAUUGGUUCUAUAUCACUAUUUUAUUCUAGUCAAUUCAAAAAAUGAUUCAGAU
rnacentral:misc_RNA from 1 species